rnacentral:rRNA from 1 species
ACGUAGGCAGCAAGCGUUGUUCGGAGUUACUGGGCGUAAAGGGCCAGUAGGCGGCCAACUAAGUCACACGUGAAAUCCCCAGGCUUAACCUGGGAACUGCGUGUGAUACUGGAUGGCUUGAAUUCGGGAGAGGGAUGCAGAAUUCCAGGUGUAGCGGUGAAAUGCGUAGAUAUCUGGAGGAAUACCGGUGGCGAAGGCGGCAUCCUGGACCGACAUUGACGCUGAACGGCGAAAGCUAGGGGAGCAAACGGGA